GUGUUGUAUGAAAGGAGAGAAGGUUAGCAUUCCCCUUGACAAGGAUGGAAGAGGCCCUUGGGCCUGACAACACGCAUACGGUUAAGGCAUUGCCAUCUACUUCGUGGCAUCUAAUAUCGUUUUUUU
ensembl:snRNA